UGCUGCAAUGUGUCAGUGCCCUGGCAGACUUACCUAAGGACCAACACCAAGAGCAACCUGUUUGUAUGUGGAUUCUGCAAAUACAUUUGCAUCUAGGUCUGCUAGUGGGUCACCAUUUAGGGGCAAUGGGCCUGCUUCUCAGGGAUCCCAAACUGGACACCCUACUGUGAUGAAGGGGCCCUAAUUGUCCAGUCACUGCCAAGCAUUUAAUGUUGCCUGGAGAAGAGCCAAUAUGGAGGCAAUCCAAGAGCUUAUUGAGCCACUGAAACUAACAAGCACUGAUGUCUUGUAGCAUAUAUGCAGAAACUGGAAGCUGUAUGGUCUGGACUGGAUGCAGCAGGAGCUCUAUAAAAUAAAAAUGGAAAAAACAAGAAGACUCUGCAUUUCUGUUGUUAUACCACUGGGGAUGAUAAAACCAGGACGACAGGAACUAGGGAAAUCUGACUCUGCUGCUUGCGCUGGAGUGGCAUAAAGGAAUCACACUACAGUGGAGGUGACGAUAUGGUCCUUGACUGGGGAGAUUGGCUGGAGCUCAUGCCUGGCCUCCUUAAGACGGAACCAAAUUACUGUAGCAAUCUCAGGCUUCAUAGGAGAACCACAGUGAACACACACAUAAUGUACAGAAAUCACAGGCAAGUACGCUGUGAACUAAAUGUGUGGAAAGGCUGUGUGGGUGGAGUCUAUAGCCCUGCUCUGUGCCGCCAGACUGUAGGCGUAGACCCCAUUCAGUCCCAGUAAAAGGACCCUUUGUAGUCUGCAUCUCAGGUCUCUUAUCGAAUGAACUGCUGAUCUGGCAAGUGGGCGAGCUCUCUGAUGAUGCUCCUGGAAAAGAUGGUUCUGCCAGAUGUGAGUUUCUCAGCUGAGGACUUGAAAGUGGCAGCAACACGAAUCCUUACAUUGGUCUGUCCUCACAUCCACUUUGAACUUGAACUAUCUUCAGCUGGAUGCUGGG